AAAUAACAUUUUCAAAAAGAAAAGCCAGUGAUGCACCUAGAUAUCCCCUCUAGAGAAUGAGAAUAGUAUACGAUUGGGCAGAAGUCUAGUGCACACAACUAUAAAAAAAAUAAAAUUUUCAUUUUGUCAGUUUUGGCCAUUAUUUCUAGCUGGUUAUGAGGACAUUUAAUGACAAAGUGUUGCUGAGGUCUGGUGAAGCAGUUCUCGGUAACAAGGCGACUGUUCUUCUCUACGUUAAAGCCCUGGGGAGUUUCCUUGG